rnacentral:lncRNA from 1 species
GCGCCCGGAACAUGGCGGGCAAAGGGAGGGCACAGCCCCGGGUAUCAGCGGCUCCUUCGGCCGCCCUCGGGCUCCCUUAUAGCCCCCAGCGCGGGGAGGCUCGGGGAGAGGCCCCGCGCAGGAUUCUGGCUGGAUAUGGUGGUGCCAGGCGGCCGCUUGUGCCACCCAGCGCCCUCAGGAACGGCCCGGCGGUGAUGAGGGCUCGGUGUCCCCUCAGAGCCACGGGAACGGUUCAGGAAUUACUUGGCAAAGCUGAUGGUGCACAGGGGACCAGACUCCAAGAUGAAAAGCAAGCCUUGCUGAAAUGUGAAAGCACAGAUUGCACCCUGGAUGAAUGUGGGCAGGAGCUGGAUGAAUAAGGAGGUAUUAAUUCUUACUGCAUCUACCAUUGAAAUGGAAUAGAAGUGGGCAACUGUUCAAAAGCAAAGUAGGAGGGAAUUAAUCUUGGUUUUCUCGUGACCUUUUUUUUUUAGGGCUUCACUCACAGCAACAGUUCACCUAAAUCCACUUAAAAUACUUGCUGUAAUAGGAAAAAAACCACCUUUGUCAUGCAGAGAAAGGCAAGACAUCUAAGAAAAAACAUUUGAAAAACUCCCCACCACAAAACUCACCCUGGUAUUGGACUUCUGAAACAGGUUCCACAGAGCAACUCCAAGUGUGUAGGAUAAGAUCAGGACAUCAAUACACAAUGCUUGUUCUCCAUCAGAGAGAUUUAAUUUAUCCUGUCAACAUGAGCUAAUUAAUAAUUAAAAAGGGCUCUGUGAUCCUUAUGUGGGAGGUCCUAUAAAAUGAAAAUUCAAGCAAUUUGAGAGGCAGUAGAUUCCUGUUUAUUCAGAAACAUGCUCAGGGAUUUACUCUAUGAUUGUUUCAAUUACAGUUUCAGCAGCAAGAUUCUGAUGUGCAUUUAUGCAUUAUGAAAGCUGUGACUGGCCCAUCCCUGGAAGUGUCCAAGGCCAGGCUGGAGCAACCUGGGAUGGUGGAAAGUGUUCCUUCCCAUGGCAGGGGGUGGAAUGAGAUGAUCUUUGAGGUCCCUUCCAAACCAUUCUGUGAUUCCUGUUGGUGAUUUCUGACUCCUCACAUGGGAAGCCUCAUGGGGUCCUUCUCACAUUAGUUUUCUUUUUAAUCCAACUGUGCUGUCUUGAACUUCAUCUUUCCAGGGCUAACACGAGGUUUGCCCUAUGACAGAUCACUUUACAAGUCCAAGUGGACAGGCAUUUGGAAUUAAGAGUCCAAACAAAGUCAAACCAGGCUGAAAUAAACUGCAUUUUGGUCUAGCA